AUGCGGGUAAUAAAGGAAUUUCGCAUAGCUAGCCCGAAACAAGUUGUGCCUAUGAGUAUUUUUUGGUUGCUCCCUCAGUACUCUCUUCUAGGCAUUGGAGAUGUGUUCAAUGCGAUUGGUUUGCUUGAGUUUUUCUACGAUCAGUCACCUGAGGAAAUGCAGAGCCUUGGAACAACGUUUUUUACGAGUGGGAUCGGUCUUGGGAACUUCUUGAAUAGCUUCUUGGUGACAAUGGUUGAUAAGAUCACGACUAAAGGGGGAGGGAAGAGUUGGAUUGGGGAUAAUUUGAAUGAUUCAAGGCUAGAUUACUAUUAUGGGUUUCUAGUGGUGAUUUCGAUUGUGAACAUGGGUUUGUUCUUGUGGACAGCUAGCAAGUAUGUUUACAAGAGUGAUGAGAUCAAAGAUUUUAGUGGAGGAUGUGUUGAAAUGGAGGCCAAAGCCUUAGACACAUCUCCUCUUACUAUCCAAUUAUAACAAUGCUAUACAUGUAUAUAUAUAUAUAUAUAUAUAUAUAUAUGGUUUUCAAGAAAUUUUGUAAGUUGUGGUAUUCUGAUAACAUGAUAUGAAUAAAACUUUAGUGUUUAUUCUAAUCAAUCAGUUAAAACUUGGAAGAAUGAAACAAUUAUUCAAGUCUAUAUAUGGCUUUGCUCUACUUGUUGAAAACACAAAUCGAUUCCCAUUGAUUACAUUGAAGAAUGCACAUGAUUCUGGUUUGAAAAACAAAACUAGUUAAUUAUAACCAACGAGCAUCUUCCUUAAGAUUCAACCACCGAGAAAAACCUAUUCAACAAGCUACCUUUGAAACUCUUAUCUACUAAGGCCCUGUUCGUUUGCUCACCCAGGUGAUCCAUCUGGGCCAUCUGGGUGAAGAUGCAAAUCGAUGUUCGUUUUGUGCAUUAUAAUGCUACAUCCAGAUGGAUCACCCAGCUGAAUUUUUAAAAACUCAUCUCAAAUUGUCACUCAAAUGAAGGUGAGUCUUGAUGGUGCAUCUGGAUGCAGAUGCAUCUAGUUCAGUCCAAAAUGAUUAAUGACAAAAAUGACUUUUUAAAAUCAAAAUAUUAUUUUCAAACCAUGAAUUCUAUUUUUUUUGCAUAUACAUUUUUCCGCUAGAACCGAAAGAUGUAUUUUCCCGCCAAAACUAAAAAACAAUCUUUCCCGCCAAAAACGCAAAAAUGCAUUUUUUCGCAAAAAAAACGUAAAACAAACAUUUCCAUUUAUAUGGCUUGUCACUUUAAUCCCAAGCACCUUAUGGGCACAAGUGAACACUCUCUUCGUCAAACAAGGGACCACCUUGGACCGAAAACUCGGAUCCCACUUCCAAAUCCCAGCGGCUUCGCUGGGAAGCUUUGUUACACUCUCAAUGCUUCUUUCUGUGCCAAUGUAUGACCAAUACUUUGUUCCCUUCAUGCGCAAGAAAACCGGAAACCCUAGAGGGAUCACUAUACUCCAAAGGCUGGGGAUAGGGUUUGUGAUCCAAAUUGUUGCAAUCGCGGUUGCUUCGGCCGUAGAGGUCAAGAGGAUGCGGGUAAUAAAGGAAUUUCACAUAGCUAGCCCGAAACAAGUUGUGCCUAUGAGUAUUUUUUGGUUGCUCCCUCAGAACUCUCUUCUAGGCAUUGGAGAUGUGUUCAAUGCGAUUGGUUUGCUUGAGUUUUUCUACGAUCAGUCACCUGAGGAAAUGCAGAGCCUUGGAACAACGUUUUUUACGAGUGGGAUCGGUCUUGGGAACUUCUUGAAUAGCUUCUUGGUGACAAUGGUUGAUAAGAUCACGACUAAAGGGGGAGGGAAGAGUUGGAUUGGGGAUAAUUUGAAUGAUUC
rnacentral:lncRNA from 1 species